GGUUUUGAUAGAUGUAGACAUUUUGCAAAACUGUUGGCAUUUUCCAAUUUGCCAUUCAGGCUCUACUACCUUGUGAUGGACAUGUAGCUGUGGAGAUGAGGUCUUGUUUCCCAUCACUACCUCCAUUCCUCUACCCUCCCAUCUGUCAGUCCCUCGGGAAUCUGGGUCCUGGAGUCUGAUGCCUCACAUGAUGGAACCACAUCCUGCUACUUCUCAGACUCCUCCACAGGAGGGAUGGACAUCCAGAUGGUGCCUUCUCUCUGUGUGAAAAGGUCAGCCUCCCAGGUCCCAUCUGAGCUCGGGCCCCGAGGCACCUACAGUCCCAGAGUCCCAAUCCCCAGCAGCCCCUCAGGUCCCCUGCCGUCCCAUGGGGAAUACCAAGGACCCCCAGGCCCUCAGGCUGUGGAGCAGCAGUUUAGCACAGGGGAGAUAGCCCAGAAGGGGGAAAUGUGUCUGGGAAUACAACUGAAGCCAUGCUUCUGUGAACAUUGAGACAGCCCUUGAUAGCGCCUUCUGUUAGUGCUGCUUUGCAUGUGCACAAUCUCAAGUCUGCAUACAAACACAUACCUUCGCCUGACGUUUUUUUUAAAUCAUCAUGACAUUUCCAAUAUGUAACUAACAGAAAAUCAACCAUUCCUGAUCAGGGAAAGGAAACAACUCGUGAAUACACGUCUUGCACACUGAACCUUCCCUGUACUCCUGCUAGGAUCACCCUAGGGGCCCCGGCUUUCGUCAGCUACCCCCC
rnacentral:lncRNA from 1 species